AUGGAGUUUUUCAGCAAGUUUGAUUGCGAGAUAAAAAAGUCUAGCUUGUGGGAACCAGUUUCUACCAGUUACCUUCCAAAUGUGACUGGCAAUUUCUUCAGAAUUCCUAGUGCCUAUUCUUUUGGGGUGCAAAUGCUGUCAAAUGCUCAGUCUAGUUCCAAACUUAUAGAUCUUGAAGGAUAUCGUACUAAGUCCGCCUCCUUGAUGAAGAUGGAAGGGAUAACAAGUGGGAAGAAGAGGAAGAAAACGUCAAUUGAGCAGCCGCUGGACCCUCCUGCAGAGAAAAUUCAUAUAAGAGGUGAUGAGAAAGUGGAAGAGGCAAUGUUGCCUGAUGCUCGUGAGAAGAAGAAAUUUACUCCUAUUCGCAGGCGAAUAAAGAUACAGGAUCUCCGGAGGCAAAUUAAAUUGGGGACCCAAAGCAGAUUUGAUGCCAAGGAGUGGAUUUGUGAAAAUUGCACUUGGACCAAUAAGCCCCAGAAGCAUUUAAUUGCGUAUCUUCCUCCUUUCUUUUGCGAAAAUUGCCAAUAUGAUCUUCUUAAAAUGGGUAAUUAUGAAUUUUCAUUUUCAAUGGCUGAUGUCACUGUAAACGGCUUUUCACCAAUUGGCAAUAUCAAGGAUCAAGGAAAUACAGAUCAUUGCACAGUGUAUUCAACCAAUCAGUGUCUUGAGAUAACAGAUAGGAUGUCAAAGAUUCUAGUUGGUAAAGAACCUGAAGGGGUAUGCAAUGAAGGGCCUAUUCUUUCUACAAAGGAUCUUUUAGCAAAGACCGAAGAUAUGAUGAUAAGGUGUAACAUCAAUCAGAGGAAGGGGGAUCAUAAAUUUAACCGCAAAACCUUAGUCGUAGCAUUUGAGGUUGCUGAAGCUGAAGGCGUGAACGUAGUAUUGACAAAAGUCGAACAAGAUAAUGAGAUGAAACCAAGGACUGUCAAAGCUUUGGGUAAACAGUUUGUGCCCUGCGAUUUUGCUAGCAUAGCCCAGAAACUUGCAGAUGGUAUCCCUCAGGUUGGCAGCUUUCUUUCGGGAAAGAAGUUGUACAACCUUAAGCAUGGUCAGAUAUACAAGGCCCCAGGGAUGCCAGAAGACGAGAAUCACAAAAAAAAGGUGGUAUGGCAUGCUGUUGUUCUUAUUGGGGCAGGCAAAAGAAGAAAGAAAUAUUUUUAUCAUUUUGUGAACUCACUAGGUGUUAAGUUUUGCCUGAGGAUACCUAUAAAUCCAUCUCCAAGACCUAAAUCCACAUGGGUUGGAGGAGUCCAGUGUGGAAAGUCUAAACAGUUUCCGGGUGGAUUUGGGAAGGUUCGCGCCAGUGAUGUCAUGCUGGAUACAUUGCAAUUUGUUAGAUAUCCAGACUCCAACACACAGAAACAGCCUUGGCUCUCGUUUAAUUACUGUGCUGUCCGUUGA
rnacentral:rRNA from 1 species